rfam:Homo sapiens chromosome 4, GRCh38 reference primary assembly.
AUACAGGAUCUUUUUGGAUCCAUAUAAAUUUAAAGUAGUUUUUUCU